AGUCUGGUGCCAGCAGCCGCGGUAAUUCCAGCUCCAAUAGCGUAUAUUAAAGUUGUUGCAGUUAAAAAGCUCGUAGUUGGACUUCAAGAAGCGCAUCUGGGCAACCAGUUUGCCUUCUACCAGCCCUAGGCUGUUACUGUGAGAAAAUUAGAGUGUUUCAAGCAGGCUUUUGCAGGAAUACAUUAGCAUGGAAUAACGAAUGUGUCUACAAUUUGGUUGAUUGUAGGUUACAAUUAAUAGGGACAGUUGGGGGCAUUAGUAUUUAAUAGUCAGAGGUGAAAUUCUUGGAUUUGUUAAAGACUAACGUAUGCGAAAGCAUUUGCCAAGGAUGUUUUCAUUAAUCAAGACGAAAGAUAGGGGAUCAAAGACGAUCAGAUACCGUCGUAGUCCUAUCUAUAAACUAUGCCGACUAGGGAUUAGUGCGGUCAGUACCGCAUUAGUACCUUAUGAGAAAUCAAAGU
rnacentral:rRNA from 1 species